CUGACCUGCUCACCUCCCCAAACACUCACUCUGCAGUUUGUGACUCAAACAUCAUCUGCUUAACCUUAAAUUUUUGAAGCUCACUUUUAAUAACAAAAGUGCUUUGAUCACUUAACAAGCUGGACCAUUCUUUAAGAGUCGGCUGUGUCAAAGGAUCAGUGAAGGAGUCUAUUUAUUGAGUCAAAGGCCCUCUUCAAGCUGAAGUUUUCUGCCCUUCUGUCUGCACCUUUUAAUCAAGACUUCACUCCAGAGACUCUUUGUCUUCUCUUCAAAAAGCUAACAGCAGCUUAUCUACAGCUGAAACGAAGCUGUUAGAUAAUAAAGGUCCAGUUGUGUCCCAGGAUGCUCCCUCGACUCGGUGGAGGUAGUGAGAGACAGAACUACUCUGGGUAAAAUAACAUCACUGAUGGACAAUAUCUUCCUUUCAAAGCAUGAAGGGAACUUCCUACUCAAACUAGAAAGGCCGGAGCUUUACGCAGAGGAAUGGAAGCUCGCUCGGAAGAGAGGAUGUUGAGGAAGACGGUGAUGGAUGAAGAAAGAGUCUCACCUUUAGUCAUUAGUAAAGUGACCUUUUAAAAUCAAUGACAAGUGCUGUUGAAGGUCUGGACAUCAAGCUGACCAGUGUGAUGGGGUUUGAGGAAGGCGUCUUUCAGGGCCUUAAGUUCAAUGGUAUACUAAUCUUGCACAUGAUCAGGAUUCAUAUUUUUCCAUCAAGAUAGUGAUGCAUCUAUGUGGAUGGAUUUUCUUUGCAUUGUCUUGACUCAUCCAAGCAGCUGAAAUAGCUUCUCAUUCAAAUGUACUUUUUUUUUUUUUUUUUUUACUGUAUUAGUUUUUCAUUAUUUUAAUCAAGUUUUGAUUUCUAUGCUUAGUCUUCCUAAGGCUCUUGAUCUUUUUCUUUGAAAGGUUCUACACAUAAGUUACUUUGGUUGCUCUUAGAAGCACUACUUGACCUUUUAGUUUUGUUUGACACUAUUGCUGCAAUGUUUAAAAUUCCUUUGUAUCUUUGCCAACAUUGCAAAAAGUCUUGCUGUACAUUAUAAUGUGUCAUUAACAAACUGAUAAUUCAGCAUGUUUUUAACACUGAUUUAUUCUAUUUUGGGGACAUAAAGUGCUUUUUCAAGCUUUUGUUGGCUUUAGGAUGACUUCAGACUUGGACAAAUAUUAAAGACUCAACAUAUGGACUUCUUGAACCUGAA